AGCGAGAAAGGUCUUUCGGGACUGAGUACAGCGGCGGACGGGUGAGUAACGCGUAGGAAUUUGCCCAGUAGUGGGGGAUAACCCGGGGAAACUCGGGCUAAUACCGCAUACGCCCUGAGGGGGAAAGCGGGGGACCAUUCGGCCUCGCGCUACUGGAGGAGCCUGCGUCGGAUUAGCUUGUUGGUGGGGUAAAGGCCUACCAAGGCGACGAUCCGUAGCUGGUCUGAGAGGAUGAUCAGCCACAUCGGGACUGAGACACGGCCCGAACUCCUACGGGAGGCAGCAGUGGGGAAUAUUGGACAAUGGGAGCCACCCUGAUCCAGCCAUGCCGCGUGUGUGAAGAGGGCUUUCGGGUUGUAAAGCACUUUCAGCGGGGAGGAAAUGCUGGCGGUUAAUACCCGCACAGUUUUGACGUUACCCGCACAAGAAGCACCGGCAAACUCCGUGCCAGCAGCCGCGGUAAUACGGAGGGUGCGAGCGUUAAUCGGAAUUACUGGGCGUAAAGCGCGCGUAGGCGGCUUGUCAAGCCGGAUGUGAAAGCCCCGGGCUCAACCUGGGAAUGGCACCCGGAACUGGCAGGCUAGAGUACAGUAGAGGUGAGCGGAAUUUCCUGUGUAGCGGUGAAAUGCGUAGAUAUAGGAAGGAACAUCAGUGGCGAAGGCGGCUCACUGGACUGAUACUGACGCUGAGGUGCGAAAGCGUGGGGAGCAAACAGGAUUAGAUACCCUGGUAGUCCACGCCGUAAACGAUGUCGACUAGCCGUUGGGGAGCUUGACUUCUUAGUGGCGCAGUUAACGCGAUAAGUCGACCGCCUGGGGAGUACGGCCGCAAGGUUAAACUCAAAUGAAUUGACGGGGCCCGCACAGCGUGGAGCAUGUGGUUAAUUCGAUGCACGCGAGAGCUUACAGCCUGACAUCCCGGGACUGGCAGAAAUGCUUGGUGCUUCGGGACCCGUGACAGUGCUGCAUGC
rnacentral:rRNA from 1 species